rnacentral:rRNA from 1 species
GGGUACUCGAGUGGCGAACGGGUGAGUAACACGUGGGUGAUCUGCCCUGCACUUCGGGAUAAGCCUGGGAAACUGGGUCUAAUACUGGAUAGGACCACUUCUUGGAUGUUGUGGUGGAAAGUUUUUUCGGUGUGGGAUGAGCUCGCGGCCUAUCAGCUUGUUGGUGGGGUAAUGGCCUACCAAGGCGUCGACGGGUAGCCGGCCUGAGAGGGUGUACGGCCACAUUGGGACUGAGAUACGGCCCAGACUCC